GCCUCUAUAGCUCAGGGGAUAGAGCAUUGGUUUCCUAAACCAUGUGUCGCAGGUUCGAAUCCUGCUAGGGGCA
rnacentral:tRNA from 1 species